rnacentral:rRNA from 1 species
CCAUUGGAAGCGAUGAGUAAUACCGCAUACGCCCUUCGGGGGAAAGAUUUAUCGGAGAAGGAUCAGCCCGCGUUAGAUUAGGUAGUUGGUGGGGUAAUGGCCUACCAAGCCUACGAUCUAUAGCUGGUUUGAGAGGAUGAUCAGCCACACUGGGACUGAGACACGGCCCAGACUCCUACGGGAGGCAGCAGUAGGGAAUCUUAGACAAUGGGCGCAAGCCUGAUCUAGCCAUGCCGCGUGUGUGACGAAGGCCUUAGGGUCGUAAAGCACUUUCGCCAGGGAUGAUAAUGACAGUACCUGGUAAAGAAACCCCGGCUAACUCCGUGCCAGCAGCCGCGGUAAUACGGAGGGGGUUAGCGUUGUUCGGAAUUACUGGGCGUAAAGCGCGCGUAGGCGGGCUGUUAAGUUAGGGGUGAAAUCCCGGGGCUCAACCCCGGAACUGCCUUUAAUACUGGCAGCCUAGAGUUCGAGAGAGGUGAGUGGAAUUCCGAGUGUAGAGGUGAAAUUCGUAGAUAUUCGGAGGAACACCAGUGGCGAAGGCGGCUCA